rnacentral:rRNA from 1 species
GCUUAGAUUCUUCGGAUGAAGAGGAUUGUGACUGAGCGGCGGACGGGUGAGUAACGCGUGGGUAACCUGCCUCAUACAGGGGGAUAACAGUUAGAAAUGACUGCUAAUACCGCAUAAGACCACAGCACCGCAUGGUGCGGGGGUAAAAACUCCGGUGGUAUGAGAUGGACCCGCGUCUGAUUAGCUAGUUGGUAAGGUAACGGCUUACCAAGGCGACGAUCAGUAGCCGACCUGAGAGGGUGACCGGCCACAUUGGGACUGAGACACGGCCCAAACUCCUACGGGAGGCAGCAGUGGGGAAUAUUGCACAAUGGGGGAAACCCUGAUGCAGCGACGCCGCGUGAGCGAAGAAGUAUUUCGGUAUGUAAAGCUCUAUCAGCAGGGAAGAGAAUGACGGUACCUGACUAAGAAGCACCGGCUAAAUACGUGCCAGCAGCCGCGGUAAUACGUAUGGUGCAAGCGUUAUCCGGAUUUACUGGGUGUAAAGGGAGCGUAGACGGAUGGGCAAGUCUGAUGUGAAAACCCGGGGCUCAACCCCGGGACUGCAUUGGAAGCUGUUCAUCUAGAGUGCUGGAGAGGUAAGUGGAAUUCCUAGUGUAGCGGUGAAAUGCGUAGA